rnacentral:rRNA from 1 species
GACGAACGCUGGCGGCGUGCCUAAUACAUGCAAGUAGAACGCUGAAGCGAGGAGCUUCCUCUUCUUGGAUGAGUUGCGAACGGGUGAGUAACGCGUAGGUAACCUGCCUUGUAGCGGGGGAUAACUAUUGGAGACGAUAGCUAAUACCGCAUAACAAUGGAUGACACAUGUCAUUUAUUUGAAAGGGGCAAUUGCUCCACUACAAGAUGGACCUGCGUUGUAUUAGCUAGUAGGUGAGGUAAUGGCUCACCUAGGCGACGAUACAUAGCCGACCUGAGAGGGUGAUCGGCCACACUGGGACUGAGACACGGCCCAGACUCCUACGGGAGGCAGCAGUAGGGAAUCUUCGGCAAUGGGGGCAACCCUGACCGAGCAACGCCGCGUGAGUGAAGAAGGUUUUCGGAUCGUAAAGCUCUGUUGUAAGUCAAGAACGGGUGUGAGAGUGGAAAGUUCACACUGUGACGGUAGCUUACCAGAAAGGGACGGCUAACUACGUG